rnacentral:lncRNA from 1 species
ACAGAGACAGCUGUUUGUCCCCCAGUAUCCUUCAGACAAAGCCAUAUAUGAUUGAAGGUUAUCAGUACUGUGCUUUUGGAGGAUUCAGAAGAAGUUAUAUCUGAUUGGGAGAUUGAAAAGGAUUGGCCUGAAGGAGAGGUGGUUUUUGAACUGCAUCUUAAAGGAUGAGGAAACUGAGGCUGAGAGGGUAGAGAACUUUGCCUGAGGUCACUCAGCAGGGACCCACCCAUCACAGUAAAUGCCAGCACUGCUGAUGCCAAAACAAUGUUAUUUGUAGGCCCUCGGAAUUUGUGACCUGAAGGAAGAAGAGCAGGGCCGUGGGAAGUAUGUAACCAGUGUCAUGCCCCUGGUCCCAAGGAAGCAGUGGCUUGGUAAAGAGGGGACCCCCGUCAAUAACUCCCUGUAAUUACUGGGCACCCACUCUGAGCUCCUCAGUGGAAUCCUAAGGUUAAUAAGACUGUCUCUAGCCACUGGGGCUCCCAGCCUGGAGUGAGGUAAGAGGAGUGGAGCCGGCUGGGGAGGGAGACGAACACAUACACAGAAGAUUCAGACACACUUGCAAUGUAUUGCUGGGGAUUCUCCAGCAUUGGCAUGAUGGAGAGGGUGGAGAAUCAUUUGACCGCCUCCGCCUAGGAUUGCAGAGUUCAGCUGGCCAUCAUCCACCAGCCGGGGGACUGUGCACAUCAGUUAACCUCUCCUCUCAGGCCUUGAAAAGCACCAGGCUUAGUACACGUUUGUUAAAUGAAUGCACUGCAGUUUUUUUGCUUGUUAAAGGCAGGUAAUAAUAAUGAUAUUGCUGACUAAGGGCUCCCAUCCACUCCCAGUGAGCCCGGUGCCCCCCCGGGCCUCCUCAGUGAGCUGAGGAGGCUCAGCAGUGCCUGCACGUCCCCUCGCCACAAUGUCAUGUGCCACCUCUUCAAAGGAGGGAUGUACCAGCUAGUGGACGUGACCUUGACUGCAAAGGGCGGCACGCAGCUGAUGUAAUGGUCGCUUAAGUGUUCACAAAUGCCUGAACACCCUGUCCUACCUGGUCCUACCUGGAUGCUGGCCUCAGUAAGCUCCUGGGCUCAUUGAAGAUGAACCUAGCAGUAGUAUUUACACCACUUGUUGUGUGCCCACUGUGGGCCCGGCGCCAUGCCGAGUGCUCUAUGGAUGUGAGAUGAGAACACUGAAGCAGUUUUUUCUAAAGAUAGCUGCCUGGCACAGUGGCUCACAUCUGUAGUCCCAGCAUUUGGGGAGGCCAAGGCAGGUGGAUCACUUGAGGCCAGGAAUUCAAGACCAGCAUGGCCAACAUGUGCUGGGAGAGAAAAGCAUACGACAUAGACAGGGAGGUCAAGCUCCACCACGCAGAUGAGGUGCAGGCCACCAGUCUUCCUCUGCCACAUCUCUUUCUGAAAAGGACUUCACAUUCACCCUUGCAAUCCAUGUGGGGACACUGUUGGAUAGGAGGCGUGGUCCCAGCGUGGUCUCCCUGUCUGGGCCUCUGCCUAUGCCAAAUGUUUGCCUUACGCUGCACACUCAAGAGGUUCCAUGUAUACAGAUGGGAAUUCCAGAGCUACAGAAAAGGCAGCAAGCACCAUGAUUUAAGCUAACCAGUGUGGAUUCACACCUUCCUCUCUCUCUAUCAGUGGCAGAACUACCAGCUAGAGUAAGAAGUGGUUGAUCCAGGACCUAAACAUUCUGGAAACUCUUGCCCACUUCUGGGAGAAAUGACCCAAUCCAUAGUACUAAGCACACCUUAACUUUCGUAGGACGCAGGCAAGUUGUCAUACCGUGUGCCUAAAUAUAGAAAAAUGAUCCACUGGACUAAUAAAGUGUUAAAUAAAAUAUGUCCUGACUGUCUACUUUGACAACAUACUUUCAUAAUGACAAAACUUAAAAAUGUAUAAAGCUAUGGUUUUUAUAUAGUUGAAAAUUGACAAAACAGAAGACUAAAUUUACUUAUUAUUGCACAUGAUGGGCGGGCUAUGUUUGGUUGAGU